GGGGAUUUAGCUCAAUGGUAGAGCAUUUGCCUAGCAAGCGCAAGGCCCUGGGUUCGGUCCCCAGCUCCG
rnacentral:tRNA from 1 species